rnacentral:rRNA from 1 species
UACAGAGGGUGCGAGCGUUGUUCGGAAUUAUUGGGCGUAAAGGGCGCGUAGGCGGGCGGCUAAGUCUGUGGUGAAAUCCUCCAGCUCAACUGGAGAACUGCCAUGGAUACUGGUUGUCUCGAGGAAGGUAGGGGUAUGCGGAACUAUCGGUGGAGCGGUGAAAUGCGUUGAUAUCGAUAGGAACUCCGGUGGCGAAGGCGGCAUACUGGACCUUUUCUGACGCUGAGGCGCGAAAGCCAGGGGAGCAAACGGG